CGCGUAGGCGGGUUGGCAAGUCCGCUGUGAAAGCCCGGAGCUUAAACUCCCGGAGGGUCGGUGGAGUACGUGUCAGUCUUGAAGUUGCUAGGGGGAGAUGGAAUUACCGGUGUAGCGGUGAAACUGCGUAGAGAUCGGUAGGAACACCAGUGGCGAAGGCGGUCUCCUGGAGCACACUUGACGCUGAGGCGCGAAAGCUGGGGGAAGCAAACG
rnacentral:rRNA from 1 species